rnacentral:rRNA from 1 species
UGCGUAGGUGGUUGGUUAAGUUUGAGGUGAAAGCUCCGAGCUCAACUCGGAAAAUGCCUUGAAGACUAUCUGACUAGAGGAUUGGAGGGGAGAUUGGAAUUCUCGGUGUAGCAGUGAAAUGCGUAGAUAUCGAGAGGAACACCAGUGGCGAAGGCGAAUCUCUGGACAAUUCCUGACACUGAGGCACGAAAGCCGAAGGGGAGCAAACG